UUCAAGUGGCAGUGAUAUUGCGUUCUCUGGAGUUCCAUGGGUCCGGUCAGUACCCACCACCCUUCCCUGUUAACAUCACCCACAGUUUAUACUUUUUCUUAGAAAACCAACGGCUCUUAAGAGCCACUUCAAUAAUCAACUCGCUCACUCUCCUCAAAAAUGCCAGGCCAGGGGUCAACAACUAGAAAGUGUGUGGUCUGCCAUACACAACUAAAUGUAGCUUGCAAAACCUGCAACACAUGCAAGGUAGAGCAGCCACAUAAGCUCAGGGUAAAAAAGAACUGAAGAAAUUUGAUCAGAAGCGGGAGAGCUGGGUGCAUGAUGAAGAUAUGGAAGAUAUGCUGGCCUGGAAGAAAACCAAAUGCUUGGGGGUCUGAGGUUCUGACACCCCGUUGUCACUUGACUGAGACAUCCAUUACAUGCUUGGAAAGAUUAAAGAACCUAUUCAAGGCGGGAUCUCACAAGGUGUUGCAGAACAAGUCAAUAAAACCUCAUCAGCCCGAGUUGAAUCCCCAACUGGACCACAAAUGGCCCAACCUGAUCUCCAGGUACCAGUGGCCCUGCCUCAUACCAAAGCAGCUCCAACUGGACCACCAGCAGCCCUUAUUGGACCACCAAAGUCCCCAAUUUGACAGCCAGUAUCCCUUUUAGGACCCUCAGGACACCAUGCAAC